CCUACGGGAGGCAGCAGUGAGGAAUAUUGGUCAAUGGACGAGAGUCUGAACCAGCCAAGUAGCGUGAAGGAUGACUGCCCUAUGGGUUGUAAACUUCUUUUAUAUAGGAAUAAAACAGGGUAUGCAUACCCUCUUGUAUGUACCAUAUGAAUAAGGAUCGACUAACUCCGUGCCAGCAGCCGCGGUACUACGGAGGAUCCGAGCGUUAUCCGGAUUUAUUGGGUUUAAAGGGAGCGUAGGUGGAUUGUUAAGUUAGUUGUGAAAGUUUGCGGCUCAACCGGAAAAUUGCAGUUGAAACUGGCAGUCUAGAGUACAGUAGAGGUGGGCGGAAUUCGUGGUGUAGCGGUGAAAUGCUUAGAUAUCACGAAGAACCCCGAUUGCGAAGGCAGCUGACUAAACUGCAACUGACACUGAUGCUCGAAAGUGUGGGUAUCAAACAGGAUUAGAUACCCCGGUAGUC
rnacentral:rRNA from 1 species